UACGUAGGGGGCAAGCGUUGUCCGGAAUUAUUGGGCGUAAAGAGCUCGUAGGCGGUUUGUCGCGUCGAAUGUGAAAACCCGGGGCUCAACCCCGGGCCUGCAUUCGAUACGGGCAGACUAGAGUUCGGUAGGGGAGUCUGGAAUUCCUGGUGUAGCGGUGAAAUGCGCAGAUAUCAGGAGGAACACUGGUGGCGAAGGCGGGACUCUGGGCCGAUACUGACGCUGAGGAGCGAAAGCGUGGGGAGCAAACAGG
rnacentral:rRNA from 1 species